UCUGAUCACCGAAGUUAAGCAUCAUUGGGCGCGGUCAGUACUUGGGUGGGUGACCACCUGGGAACACUGCGUGCCGU
rnacentral:rRNA from 1 species